UCGGGUUUGCAUAGUCUAUUGUGCAGGUUCUUUCAAGUUUUUCGUCUCCAAUUUUUUUUUUAUAUGUUGAAUUUUGUUCCCUUUCUUUUAUUUUGUUUGUGUGUUGUUUAUGCUGCAGAAAGGAUGUUGCUAUAAUCCUAGAUCCGCAAUCCUUCAAGGUUCGUUGUUUCGAUAAGCAACGCCUUAUCAAAUAAACAUUUCAAUCUAUCAACUAAGUAUACACUUUUUAAUUAUUUAUUUUAAAAUUUAAGUUGUUUUAAAAU
rnacentral:lncRNA from 1 species